rnacentral:rRNA from 1 species
GCGGACGGGUGAGUAACACGUGGGUAACCUUGCCUGUAAGAGUCGGGAUAACUCCGGGAAGCCGGGGCUAAUACCGGAUGCUUGAUUGAACCGCAUGGUUCAAUUAUAAAAGGUGGCUUUUAGCAACCAUUUACAGAUGGACCCGCGGCGCAUUAGCUAGUUGGUGAGGUAACGGUUCACCAAGGCAACGAUGCGUAGCCGACCUGAAAGGGUGAUCGGCCACACUGGGACUGAAACACGGCCCAAACUCCUACGGGAGGCAGCAGUAGGGAAUCUUCCGCAAUGGACGAAAGUCUGACGGAGCAACGCCGCGUGAGUGAUGAAGGUUUUCGGAUCGUAAAACUCUGUUGUUAGGGAAAAAACAAGUACCGUUCGAAUAGGGGGGUACCUUGACGGUACCUAACCAAAAAGCCACGGCUAACUACGUGCCAGCAGCCGCGGUAAUACGUAGGUGGCAAGCGUUGUCCGGAAUUAUUGGGCGUAAAGCGCGCGCAGGCGGUUUCUUAAGUCUGAUGGGAAAGCCCCCGGCUCAACCGGGGGAGGGUCAUUGGAAACUGGGGAACUUGAGUGCAAAAAAGGGAGAGUGGAAUUCCCCGUGAAGCGGGGGAAAUGCGUAAAGAUGUGGGAGGGAACACCAGUGGGCGAAAGGCGAACUCUUCUUGGUCUUGUAACUGGACGCUGAGGGCGCGAAGCGUGGGGGAGCGAACAG